GUCUGUGUGGGCCUGGCAGCUGAGAGCCCUGGGGCUGUGCUCUCUGCUCUGAAGCUGUUAAACUUCUGCUCUGUGGAUUUAUUCCUCUCCCCCAGCCCUGAAUUGUUAUUUUAUCUCACCUUCAUCACUGAGCGGCAUGAGGCCUCCUUCAGGGCCCACUCAGGGUGUUGUGGUCUUCUCUGCAGCCUUUGUAAUACAGUUUUGCUAUAACAGGCAAAAGCAUCUUCAUGAACAUGUUUAAGUCAUAAACUGUAAUAUUUCAGUCUUCAACAUACUGUCUCAACAUUUUUCUUCUAUCUUUACUACUCAGCAAAUGCAGCCACCAGCUAUACAUUCAGAAAAUUUCUGUAGUGGUGGCUUAGUGAAUCUUGUCUUCCACACUUUCACCUGUGCUGCGCUGAUUUGUCUUUAGUUGUCUGACUUUAACCUGAGGCAUCAAACUUCCUUAAGCUUGAAAAUCAGGAUGAUCUUCAACUAGACAGAUAAACAACCCCCCAGGGAUUAUAAUACAGGUUAUUAGACAUUGUCUGGGGACAAUGCUGCUAGUGGUAGGGUCUAUUUGAAUGCUCUCUGUCUGCACCAGAAAGGGAGACAUAGUAUGAAUAUUUUGAGGGACAACAUGCCAGAAACACUGCAAAAGUAAGGGAGUCAAGGUGAAAGCACUGCAGUUGACCCUGUGAAUGAUACUGCUAAACUCAUGCUCAUGUGAGAGAGACAAAAGCCAUUCCAUGAGGCCCAAAAUUCAGUAAUGGAAGGAUCAGCAGUUCAGGCUUUUUACCAGGUUGUUUUAAAUGUUCAUAAAGGACAUCAAGAAACCAAAGUCCUGUUAGUUCAUGAUCCCUUUUCACAGGAGAAGUGUCCUAGAAUUUGUCCUGUGGUGACACUAAUUUUUGUUGUUGAAAUUUCUGCUGUUCCUGAUGUGUCAGGUAAGAGAGAUGUUAUCUCACUCGCUUUUCUGGUGAAAGCUCCAAUGUAUGUUGUCUUACAAAUCCAUGUUUUUACAAAAUCCAUAUUGAGAGAAGAGUCUAAGUCAGACAGUAACACUUGGUCCCCAUUCAGAACUCCGUGGCUGCCAGGCAGCCAUUCCUGUGUCUGUCUGGGAGGUGGACACUCUCUACGCACACCAGCAGCACACAGAUCUUAUGUACAGCUGCCAACACUGCUUUGCUAACCACAGGCUGGGUCUUUGAUGCUGUCUCAGCAGACAACAUUCUGAGCAGGGCUAUUUGGUGUCUUCUAAAUGCUGUAAAAUUACAGAUUAAUUUAUUGGUGCGUCUGUUCCAGGCUCACUGAGCAAACCAGAAGCUUUGGGAUACCUUUGUGGCCAGACAUUAUGGUAACAUUCUCCACUAGAGAAUGCAGGAGCCAGCACAAUUCUGUGUGGUUGGCAGGACAUACACAGAUGUAUCUGUGGUCUAAACCCAGUUCUGAGCCUGUUAUUUUUCUAACCUUGUGCAGCAGAAUGAUAAGCUGCACAGACAAAAUAGGCUCUGUGCUUCUCUGAGAGAAAAGGAGGAUAGGUUUCCUGCUGAGGAUGUAAGCCUUUGACUAUGACUGUAGUAGUGAAAUUUGCCUUUUCUCACAGUCCAGAAAAAAGUAAAAAAAAAAAAAGAAAAAAGAAAAAAAGAAAAAAAAAAGAAUAAUAGACAUUGAAAAAUGCACAUUAUUUCAAUAUAACUAAUACUUGAAGUAAGGUAAUAAAUAGAAAAACGUGUAAUUUGAAGGAAUAAGA
ensembl:lncRNA